CCUGGUGCAUAUGAUGACAUAUUUUUUUCCCCGGCAGAUCGAUAGUGUUGACGUUUUCUUUAAACUUAAAGCCAAUUUAUCUGAAGCACUAUC